AGUGAAUGGGACUCGGCCGGUUCCUCUACAGCCAGCAUGUGAACAUGUGACACAUCUCAAAACUGCUUACACAAACACUGAUGUGACAUAGCAUGAAAUCCUGCUGUACUGUGUGUGCCCUGAUCUGCUGUGAGGGCAGCAACUGCUAGCUAACUAACAGAAGAUCAUCAAGAUUCAAGAUCCAAGAUGUUUAUCGUCACUCUGGUUAUAAAAGUACCAUCGUAGGAGAUUCUUGUGCUAGGAGGCUCCUUUGACAAAGGGUUUCCCGCUCAGUUCACUUUGUCGGUUGGAGACACAGAGAAGAGUUAUGAAAAUGUUCCUCCUCUGCAGUUCUACACAAAAAUAUGCUGGUUCCAGUAAAAUACAAACAACUACAGAAGUAUGUGAAGUUGGAGGAGGUUGACUACAUGCAAUUUCAUGAAAAAGUCAUGCUGCAGUCUGGAGGAGCAUCUCCGCAGCCAGCAGAGUCUGUAUCCAUACCUCCUCCCUGUUGGACUUCAGAAGAGCAAGAUUGACAGCUUCUACAUCACCAUGGAUAAUCAUCUCAUCCCAUGUUGGGCAAACUGCUUCCUCUGGGCAUUUGAUGAACUUUUUUAAAGCACAUUUUGUGUUUAACAUGUCUUAUGAUGCAGCAUUGGUGAAUUUUUACACAUUCUUGAAAAAAAUGUGGUAGUUGUAUAUUGUACCUUCAUUUACAAUGUAUUGAUUUACAGAGAAAAUAAAAUGUCACUGUUUGAAAAUUACUUUUUUUUUCCUUUUUUUUUUAAAUCAUUCUUUAAAUAAUUUUAACACUUUGUAGUGUAAAUACCUGACACUUAAUGGAGUGAAACUAACACUAGCCAGGUAGUAAAAAAAAAGUGUCAUAGCAGAGUUACUUGUCUAAUCCCUAAGUGUUAUUUAUUUACAUUCUGUUUAGCGAGUU